UAUGUGAUCGUCUCUCGCAUAUCAAUAAGCGGAGGAAAAGAAACUAACAAGGAUUCCCCUAGUAACGGCGAGUGAAGCGGGAAGAGCUCAAAUUUGAAAUCUUAAAGGGUUUCCCUUUACGAAUUGUAGUUUAAAGAAGUGUUUUCUGUUGAGGUUUUGGUAAAAGUUCUUUGGAAUAGGACAUCAUAGAGGGUGAGAAUCCCGUAUUUGACCUUCACUUUCAACUUUGUGAUACACUUUCAAAGAGUCGGAUUGUUUGGGAAUGCAGUCCAAAAUGGGUGGUAAAUUUCAUCUAAAGCUAAAUACUGGCGAGAGACCGAUAGCGAACAAGUACCGUGAGGGAAAGAUGAAAAGAACUUUGAAAAGAGAGUUAAACAGUACGUGGAAUUGUCAAAAGGGAAGCGUUUGACACCAGUGUUGUUUUUCUGAAAAUCAAUUAAAGAACUGUUUAUGCUAAGCUGUUUAGACUUUAUCAGCUAACUGUUUAGUUUUGAGCUUUUCUUUAAUGCACUUUUCAGUUAACAAGUCAACAUCAAUUUCUUUUGCUGUAAAAAAGCUUGAGGAAGGUGGCUUGAGAUUCGUCUUAAGUGUUUAUAGCCUCUUGCCUAUGCAGUCGGAGAGAUUGAGGUCUGCAGCGUAGAUCCUUCGGGGCUAAAUGCAUUUGUGCUAAGUUAUAGCAUUUUAUAGACAACUUGUUGACUAUGAUUUGUCUUGUAGCUUACUCGCUUAUGUUAUUUUACCUACGCUUAGGAUGUUGAAUCUGUGCGAGACUAC
rnacentral:rRNA from 1 species